rnacentral:rRNA from 1 species
CCCUUAGAUGUUCUGGGCCGCACGCGCGCUACACUGUUCGACGCAGCGAGUCUUAACCUUGACCGAAAGGUUUGGGUAAUCUUCAGCAAAGUCGAACGUGAUGGGGAUCGAUCAUUGCAAUUAUUGAUCGUGAACGAGGAAUUCCUAGUAAGCGCAAGUCAACAGCUUGCGUUGAUUACGUCCCUGCCCUUUGUACACACCGCCCGUCGCUACUACUGAUUGGAUGUUUAAGCGAGGUUCUCGAACUGCUAGCGACUUAGCUUCGGUGAGGUCGCAGUGUGGGAAGUGAACCGAGCUUUGGUGUCUAGAGGAAGUAAAAGUCGUAACA